rnacentral:lncRNA from 1 species
UGAAUAUAGCUAUGUUAAUUAGCCACUGAUCAGAGUGUUGUAGAAAAAGAGCAGUAUAUAUUCACAGGAAGCAAUCCUUCCCAACAGUUCCCCCUCUAAGCCCAUCACAGAACUUCCACUGCGUCUGCAAAUCAGAUAUGAAUUUAGAAAGGCUAAGCUGAGAAAGAGGAUGAAAUCUGUACUCCGUAUUGAUUAAAUCUGUACUCCAGAUUAGUGAUGAGAGCUUUGCAAUUAGUUACAAUGGUGAUGAUUGCUUAGUGACAGCUCUUCUUUUUAUGUUCAAUCUUCCAGGGUUCAUAACAAGGAAAACCUAUUUUUAUGGUCAAUCUUUUAUAUGUGCAAAACCUAUUUUUCAGUACAAAACAAAGGGUUGAUAACAAGAAUCAAUGGUAAUCAUCUCGGGGAAAGAAAUCGCUCAGUAAUCAAACCAUCACCACUUUAAGAUCUCUAACAACCCAUUACUACUUUAAGAUCUCGAUGGUCCAGGCCCAAAGGAGAUGAACACCAACUGCUAGGUAUGCAAAAGAAAAGAAAGAAAAGGAAAAUAGAGAAGAUAUAGUACAUGCUUUCCCUUGAAAGAAAGCCGGUUCAGCGAAUUCAAGAAUUACCACUGAACAACGCUAUCAUAACUAGCGAAAGUACCUGAAUAUAGCUAUGUUAAUUAGCCACUGAUCAGAGUGUUGUAGAAAAAGAGCAGUAUAUAUUCACAGGAAGCAAUCCUUCCCAACAGUUCCCCCUCUAAGCCCAUCACAGAACUUCCACUGCGUCUGCAAAUCAGAUAUGAAUUUAGAAAGGCUAAGCUGAGAAAGAGGAUGAAAUCUGUACUCCGUAUUGAUUAAAGGACAUCAUCGAGCUUACCAGUUGCCACAGAGAAUGGAUGCAUAAGCAGAGCGCACAUUGCACAAAU